UCUCCGUAGGUGAACCUGCGGAGGGAUCAUUACUGAGUGAGGGCGUCGGUCCGACCUCCAACCCUUUGUGAACCAAACUUGUUGCUUCGGGGGCGACCCUGCCGCUUCGGCGGUGCGGCGCCCCCGGAGGCCAUUAAACACUACCUCAUUGCGUCGGAGUUAAAGUAAAUUAAACACAACUUUCAACAACGGCUCUCUUGGUUCCAGCAUCGAUGAAGAACGCAGC
rnacentral:misc_RNA from 1 species